rnacentral:sRNA from 1 species
AGGAUCAAGGCGAUCGCAGCCAAGCACAAUAAAACUACAGCCCAGGUCCUGAUCCGGUUCCCCAUGCAGAGGAACUUGGUGGUGAUCCCCAAGUCUGUGACACCAGAACGCAUUGCUGAGAACUUUAAGGUCUUUGACUUUGAACUGAGCAGCCAGGAUAUGACCACCUUACUCAGCUACAACAGGAACUGGAGGGUCUGUGCCUUGUUGAGGUGAGUGAGCCCCAGUGUGAGGAGCAGUUCCCAGGAGAUAUUCAGAUGCUGCACAGCAAGAGAGUGAUCCCUGCAGGCCUCAGCACCAAUGUGCUGUCAUCACAGCUGUUCUUGCUUUGCACAUUACCUUGCUUUCUCAGCCAGGUGACCUGCAUCAGCUGAACUGCAUGGAGCCAAGAUGCCAAGAGAUCCGCUCUUGAUAUCUUCUUCCAGCCCUGGGGCAUUGUUGGCCUGGCCUGAAGUAACUACAUAUUUUGGCUUUCCAUUUAAUUUUUAAAUCCUAGUGGUUCAUCUGAAACUAGGUGAUCCCAGGUGACCCUGGAUCAAACUCUGGAAGAAUUUGCCUGUGACUUUUUGUCUUAAUGACCCUAAUGAAAGGGGUUUGGUCGGGAGCCCCUGGGGCUGAGGUUUGAGACAGUCCCGGCUCUGACCUGGUAAGCCACAUGGCUCUGAAACAGGCCCUCCCUCUGAGCAGCAGGCACCUCAGUUCCUCCAGCCACACAUCCUCUGG